rnacentral:ncRNA from 1 species
UGGUACCUUCGGGGACCUAAACACAGCCAGACCAAAUGGUUUGGCAUAGCUAAACGGAAGACAGAAA